UCCACUCCCUGACUGCUGCAUCCUCCAUCACUCCACUUCCCUUCUUCCUCUGUUUCUCCUUGAGGUCGAACCCAGAGGCCUGUCUGCACACUUUUGGGCCUUGCUUUUCAGUCUCUCCCUCACUCUGUCUCUCACUCAAUCCUCUGAGCUCAGCACAGAGUCUGUGGAGGAAUAAAGCAGCAGAGAGAAGCAGAAACAUCCUGGGACGCUGAAUAAAAGAUCCACCUUGGUCGGCUCUCUGUGAUUUCUGACACUCCACAUGGAAGCGAAGGCUAAAUGUGGGUCGAAGGCGGCUCCGAAGGCAGAGAAGAAAGACCCGGCGCCUCCUAAACCGGACCCCAUCCCCGCAGAGCCGGCCCAGUCCACUGAACCAGAGAAACCAGCAGAAGAUGGAGCGAACAGCCAGGAGGGGGCGCAGGAGGGGGGUGAGGGAACAGGAUUCGGGUGUGAAGUGCUGGAGAACUUGAAGCCUUUCAUCAUCGGGGGGGCCAUCGUCGCCCUUGGAGCCAUAUUGGUGGGCGUGAUCUUAUUAGCCAAGAAAAACUGAUGCUGUCGAGUGAUUGGUUGAUGAGUGAAUGGGUCACAGACUAUCAGAAGGGUGGAGUUUGAGUUUAUUACUAAUUUAUAUAUAAAGUAAUCCACUGAGUUUACUUGACCGAAAUGUGCACAUCAUUUCCAGAUGACAGUGAAGAACCGUGAUUAUUAGAGUUUGGACUUUAGUUCAGGGCAUAAAUGUCCAAACCCUGUCAGAAAAUGUGAAAAAAACCUGCUAUGAUAAUGCUAGCAUAUGGGAUUUGUAAUGUUGUGUAUUAGCGCUAAGCUAAUGCUAGUGCACAGGAAUUUUUUUGGCCGUUCUAGAUUAAACAUGCACAUUUAAAGCUUGUAAAAGACAUUCUAUGUUUUAUUAGAAGCUUGUAACAGUAAUUAACAUAUAUCUGAACUGUAGCAGUUUUACAGUGACUCUUUCAGUAAAGAGUCCUGCAUAGAGCUGCUGCCACUGUUUUCCAUUCCUAACAGCCAACACAAACCUACUUAGACUAUGACUCAUAUUCAGUCAGUGACAGAUCUAGAACCUUAAAGAGGAAUUCCAUGUUAACAUUAGCAGUAGCAUAAGUUAUUUUUUAUUCUGUAGCACAACACUCAGCACCUUAGCCUCAUAAGAUGUAUGUAUCGUUUUUGUGUUUUCUUCCAUCAGUUUUCUGCCCUUGCCCAGAUUCUCACUACAAUACCCAGCAUGCAUCACAAAAUAUGAAAGAAAUGGUGCAAAUACUUUGUAGAAACAUGGCACUGCAGCAUGUAAAGUUAGCUAUCUGGCUAACAGCCCUCAUGUAUUCAUCAAAGCCCCUGUUUCCCACCUUCAAGAUACAUCAGAAGUCUUUAAACUUGAUCUCACCCUAGAGACUACUGCGGCAACUGUGAAGACAAGUAGGAAAGUUUACAUCAGAUAGUAGUGAUGGUUACGCUUUUAUUUUGGCUGGCAUGUCCAUUUAAGGCCUUCAGUGCAGCUCCUGAAGCCCUAAUCAAUGAAAUAGCUACAGUACAGUACUUAGUAAAUACCACCAGACACGUAUUGUUGUCACUGAACCUAGGAAGAUUGAAGGAUUCCCCCUGAAAUCAACACAAUUUUGGCAAUAAUUGUGUCGAUGUAAUACAUUCAAUUCAUUAUUUAUGUGGAAAUGUGCACAACUCAGUCAAGUAAGGUCAGCGCAUUGCUUUAUUUACAUAUACAUCUGUACUUACUGCUUAUAUAUGUAUGUAAAUAUCUAUAUGAAUUGAACUAUAUGAGGUGGGGAGCUAUUGUGCUUUUCAUUUUCAAGCGCUGCUUUGAUAUUCUGAUGCUAGGAGUGACCACAGCAAUAGCCAUUAGUAGCUAGCUUUGCUUGAGGCUUAUUCAGUCGCAAAUGUGGCCGCCGCACAAUCACGUAGACACGAUAAACACAGAUAACACAAACACAGUUUUAUCUAACAGCAUUUCCUCCUGACCAAGACUCAUCACAGCUGCCAUCUCUGACAUCCUUCUAGAAUAAAAGUCCUCUGUUAUAAAUGUCAGCAUUAACUCUGUUACACUGAGGAUGUAGGUGUUAAUUAAGCUUAAAAUAAAGUGCAAUAUUACCGUAUGAUAUUUCUGUUUAGUUUUAUGGUCUCAUUAGUCGGUGACACCAUCACAGACAGGCACGGUUCAGGUAUAUAUUUGGUUUUAUGACAAAGAUGUAAUAUUUACAGUCAUAAUGUGAUCUGGCAAAUGAAAAAAAAACAUAUAUAUAUAUAUAUAUGUGUGUGUGUGUGUGUGUGUGUGUGUGUGUGUGUGUGUAUGUACACACACACAUAUACACACAUAAAUAAAUAUACGUUUAUUGAAAGUUGAUUUGGGACUGUAUGCCCUUGUGAAAAUGAAAUAUUGUUAUAUUUUGUUAAUUUAUUUCAAAAUAUAAAUGGAACAUUUAUAAUAAUUUCAGGUACUUUUGAAAAUACAGGUACUGAAAAGGAUUCUUUGCACAUUGCCAUAGAAAAAAAUUUUGGUUCCCUAAAGAACCUUUUAAAUGGAUCUUUCUUCAGAGGCUCAUUUUUGUAAAUGAGAAAAGUGACUGUGAAGAACCUUUUUUCAAAGUUUAAAGAACCACCACAUAUUGUAAAGGUUCUAGAAAGAACCUUUAAAUUAAUUUACAUUGUGUGAAGACUCUUUAAACAUUCAUAAACCUCCAAAUAUCUGUUUCCAACAUGGUUCUUCAGGGUAACAAAAGUGGUUCUAUGUCAUUAGAGCCCAUUCUACUGCAAAGAACACUGUGGAACCUUUAUUUUAAGAGUUUAUAAUACUAUUUUGUAUGUGGAUGUAUUGCACAGAUAGAGGAACUUAUAAAGAGAUUGCAGCAUACAGAUUUCACAUGGAUGCAAAAUGCAGAGGAAAAUAUGAUCAUAUAUCUGUUAUAUUUAUCAAAUACGUGUGUGUGUGUGUGUGUAUAUGUUCUUGUGCCCGUUAAAGAUUGAUUUGAUCAUUAUCAUCACUUUUCUUAUAGUUUGUUGUCUGCAAUGGAUUAAUUAUUUAUUAUUUUCAGUCAUUGUAAAUGAACACAAAACAUGAAAUGAAAGGCAUAUAUUACAGAAAUGGGAAUGUGUGUACAGAUUUUAGGAUAUUACAGAAUAUUUUAAUCUGUCUGUCUGCUUGUAGCACAUGCUGUCUAUUACUACUGACCAGACUGAGAGAAAAAGUGUAAUAUUAACUGAUUUCUUAAGCAGUCUAGUCAUUAUUCUAACAAAUUUAAGUCACUGCUCUCAUUUCCAUAUAUACAUUCUGUCCAUUUGCUCAAUGUUUAACACCCUGGAUAGCAUGAAUUACUAAAGAACACACUAAUAAUCACAUUUUACACAUUUUUUAGCAGUUUUGGAAUGCAAUUCACUUUCAUAUGGAAUCAGUCUCAGUAGGAUGGCUGUGCUAAAAUGGUCAUCGUCCAAAAGAAACACUAAAAAAUGCACGAAACAAACAGAUUAGUCACGUCAGUAGUUCUUACAGACAAUAAGAUUUUUCCUUUUCCCUCAAGUGCGUAUGUAAUGCAAUAAUACUGAUAGCACUCCGUAGCUGAGACUGAUAGAGCUGACAUUACAGGAUGAAAAGCUUUAAAAAGCUGAUAAAUGGUGGACAGUAAAGAUUCUGGCUCUGAUGAUGGAGAUAAUUAUAUGAAUACCUGCUGAUUGUUAUUGAUUUUAUUUCUUCUCCUGACAGCAGCUUUUCCAGCCGCGUUUGUCCACUCACCCACCCCCACUGUUCCCUCUGUAAUGUAUAAAUGAAAUGGCUCUCUUGUGAACUGUUGAGCUUAUUAAAGGACUAAAAACCAGA